rnacentral:SRP_RNA from 15 species
AGGGCAGAAAUGAAGCAGCUAAAGGGAACUUCGAAGGGGCGCGAGU